GUUUCGUUCAGGAUUUGAAAUUUUCCUAAGUUCUCUGUUUGGUGACAUGUAUAAACAGAGGUAGACUAUAAGGUUCCACCAUUCUUGAUUGAAAAUAGGGAACGUAACAUCAUCUAAUUUCAACCAAAUUUAUAUAUAUUUUUUUGAAGUCUAUCUAGGUAUGUAUUGUACAAUGAGUUGUAAUGUGGAUAUAAUUGUGUGUAUAUUGUGAAUUUGAAGUUUUAUGUGGACUUUAAUUGGAGUGUUCUAUAACUAUUGGUGGUUUCUGAUACUUGUAGACCCUGCCCUUUGUAUCAUUUCCAUCAGCUGAAUUGAUGUUGAUUAUGUGGAUAAAUACGGAGCUAUUUGAUUUAUAUUGACAUUCAUAAUAUUCUUUCGACUUUCCCUCCCUUUUCUCUUCUUUUGACUCUCCCUCCCUCUUCCUUUUAUCAUUUGUAUAAGGAUAAUGUUUAUUGAUUAUUAUAACGAUAAUGUUUCAGAUAUUAUAUUUAUCGAAUUGAAUAUGUGAUUGGAUGUAAUCAUUGGAUAUUCUAAACCUUUCUAAUCAAUGGUAAUCACUCCUACUAUAAGAACUGAUUCCAAACCCCUGAUGAAGUCCUAACGGACGAAACGCGUUGGGUUUUGCAACGUCUGGUUAACAAAGUCCUUAUCACAAACAUCUGGUUGGAGAUACAUCCAUUUCGAGUUCUGACUGUGAUCACCUGGCUGUAAAAUCCUCACAUCCAACUGUAAUUUAUGUAUAAGAUUGUAAUAUUGUUUUAUAUGAAUUUUUAGAAGGUUGUGUCAAUAACGAACGCUUAGGAUAAAUAUCGUUUGUUUCUGUACAAUAAAAACUUUUAAUUAUUGUCAU